UCCAAGAUCAUGUUUUCGCACAUUCGAACUCUCAAUGAAUAUCCAGCUGAAGUAUAUUUACUUAUGGUAGUUAAUCAUGAAAAUAACUGAGCAGGAAUUUGAAAUUGAUUAUUAAUUUGAAAGUUGGUAAAGUCGGAAUUUAAUCAGUAUGUUUAAAAAUAUUUCCAGAAAGUCCUAUUAAAGGUACACCAUUCAAGUUCCGAGGUGGCUGUUUGUAGUAAAGACCAUGGAUUUGAACUGUGAUGAUGUGUAUGAUGAUAGACUUGAAGAAUAUAAAGGUUCCAUACCUGGAGAAACUGAGAAGAAGUCUUCAUCACAUUCAUUUCAAAUGAUGCCCGAAUUUAAUGAGAGAUUCAGAGCAGCGACAGUGAAGGAAUUGAUCCAUGGUGUGAUGAAUGAUGAGUUGGGAGGGAAAAAAUACACAGUGGAAGACGCUGAGAUGUGGACUAAGAAUAUUGCAACCUCUGUGCGUAACAAGGUGAAAGAGCUCGGGUUUAAGAGAUACAAGUACGUGGUACAAGUUGUGCUUGGGGAACAGCAUGGAGCUGGCAUCAAAAUUGGCUCCCGCUGCCUCUGGGAUGCUGAUACCGAUCACUAUGCCAGUGAUGUUUUUAUUAAUGUGAGUGUAGCCACCUCAGUAUUAGUAGCAACUGAAGAAUGCAUGGAGAGAAGGAAUCCAUAUUUUGCAUGACAGUUGUGUUUGCCAUCUACUUCUACUGAAGGAGUCGUCUUAGUACGGUUCAUCCAUGAUAGUCAGCAUUCAGGAACGAUGAGCUGUGGGAUGACGGGCAGGAUCUUGGGGCCACCAUUCUGCAACAUGUCAUGGAUCCCUUGUUGUGCUAAGAACUUAUAUGGAUGCACUGUUUCGCAGAGUCCUUCGAAGAACUUUGGAAGGUGAUUGUGGUAAUUAAGUUCUUCAAUUUCUACCUGGCAGAGAAAUUAUUUUGAGAGUAGUUGAAAUGAUGAUUUUGUAUCAUGAUCAGUAUAUGUUUUUUUAAGACUGAAGAAAAUGUGCUGUAUUUUAGUGUGUUUGCAACCCUGGUGCACCUAUUAAAAUUCCUACAUUGGUUUAUCACUACAUGUGAAACAACUCAAGAAAAGAUAAAGCUGUUGUGAUUAAAUUUGAUAUUGGAGAAUUUUACACCAUGUUGUAGAUGAUUUCAAUUUUUGUGUAGAUUGGACGAUUUUAAAAACCACUUUACAUAAGAGCAUAAAUAAUCUUUUGAGCUUAUCUCAAUAAAUAGCUGGGAAAAAAGUUGUUUAAAUACAUCUUUUAUUUUCUUGGAUAAGUAUAAGGAAAGUUUGCAUAAUUUCUUGGUUAAGCGUGAAAAAGAGUUGCAAGCAAAGGUAAACUUGUCCGUGGUAAUUACUGAGUUUCACACCAUGGAAAUGUUUAGGGCCAUGGAGGUAUAACUCUGCUCUUUUUUAACUUUGGCUCUAGGUAGAGGUGAGAGGUUGUUUUUAUGUCCUGUGCAAUUUACCCCUAGGGAAAGCUCAUUCACUAAUGUUUAGAGAGGAGGCUCAGUGGGAACCAGAGGUUAAUCUGAAUAAAAUCUCUUGCCCAUGCCAGGAAUAAAACCCUGGUUUUUCAGCCUGCAGCCUGGUCACUGUACUGACAAGUUGCAUGAAUGAAUUUUAGCUUACUUGCAUGAACAUUCACUAUAGCAUUAAAUCAAAGAUGUCUGAUAACACUGAUGUAUUUUCAGCAGUUUCUUUAUGUAAUCUUAUUACAGUAAUUCUACAUAAAUAUAAAUUGCUUUGUUGAGUGGAAGAUUGCAGUUAAAAACAAAACAAGCCAUCUUCAGACUUACCGCCGUGAAAACCUCAAAUCCUACAAGUCUUGAGUUCAAGCUGCGUUGAAGUCAGGCUUAUUUUAUUAUUAAUGCAGUGCUCUGUUACAGUAUGACAAAAAGCAUAUGUUAAACAAAUUAUAUAAAGAUGCCUGUGUUCUGG